rnacentral:rRNA from 1 species
UGGGUGAGUAACGCGUAGGAACCUGUCCUUUUGUGGGGGAUACCAGUGGGAAACCGCUGCUAAUACCGCAUAAGGUUGCUGGGGAGACCCUGGUAAAGAAAGGCGAAAGCCGCAGAAGGAGGGGCCUGCGUCCGAUUAGCUAGUUGGUGUGGUAAUGGCAUACCAAGGCGACGAUCGGUAGCUGGUCUGAGAGGAUGGUCAGCCACACUGGGACUGAGACACGGCCCAG